rnacentral:tRNA from 1 species
GCAAUAAUAGCUUAAUAUAAAGCAUUGGUCUUGUAAACCAAAGAAUGAAAUUUAUUUCUUGUUGCU